rnacentral:rRNA from 1 species
AACGAACGCUGGCGGCAUGCCUAACACAUGCAAGUCGAACGAGACCUUCGGGUCUAUUGGCGCACGGGUGCGUAACGCGUGGGAACCUGCCCUUAGGUUCGGAAUAACUCCCCGAAAGGGGUGCUAAUACCGGAUAAUGUCUUCGGACCAAAGAUUUAUCGCCUUUGGAUGGGCCCGCGUUGGAUUAGCUAGUUGGUAGGGUAAUAGCCUACCAAGGCGACGAUCCAUAGCUGGUCUGAGAGGAUGAUCAGCCACACUGGGACUGAGACACGGCCCAAACACCGAAGGGAGGCAGCGGCAGGGACUCCUCCGGAAUGGGCGAGAGCGUGAUGGUGCAACGGGGCGGGAGUGAUGAAGGUCUUCGGCUCGUAAAACUCUGAAAUUAGGGGGGAACAAAUGUUUAUUUACCGAUGCACAUCUUGACGGUACCGGAGCAAAAAGCCACGGCUAACUACGUG